rnacentral:pre_miRNA from 1 species
AUCAAUGCUGUUAUUUUUACACUUCAUUUUCUAUAUUUUUAAUUUCCUCUACACCUCUCUUUUAUUGGAGAAAAAAGAGAAUAGAAAAAAAAAAGUGGAUUUCUCUACUUUUCAAUCAAAGGGAGUUGUAGGGGAA